rnacentral:tRNA from 2 species
GGGCCGUUAGCUCAGUCGGUAGAGCAACUGACUUUUAAUCAGUGGGUCGCAGGUUCGAAUCCUGCACGGCUCACCA